AACCACUCUGGUGGCCUAGUGGUUAUAGUGUCCUCCUCGAAUGCGGGAGGUUGUGGGUUCAAUCCCCAGUCGGGUCA